CCUACGGGUGGCUGCAGUGAGGAAUAUUGGUCAAUGGACGAGAGUCUGAACCAGCCAAGUAGCGUGAAGGAUGACUGCCCUAUGGGUUGUAAACUUCUUUUAUAUGGGAAUAAAACGUUCCACGUGUGGGAUUUUGUAUGUAUCACUUGAAUAAGGAUCGGCUAACUCCGUGCCAGCAGCCGCGGUAAUACGGAGGAUCUGAGCGUUAUCCGGAUUUAUUGGGUUUAAAGGGAGCGUAGGUGGAUGGGUAAGUCAGUUGUGAAAGUUUGCGGCUCAACCGUAAAAUUGCAGUUGAAACUGGCAGGCUUGAGUACAGUAGAGGUGAGCGGAAUUCGUGGUGUAGCGGUGAAAUGCGUAGAUAUCACGAAGAACUCCAGUGGCGAAGGCAGUUCACUGGACUGCAACUGACACUGAGGCUCGAAAGUGUGGGGAGCAAACAGGAUUAGAUACCCGAGUAGUC
rnacentral:rRNA from 1 species